UACGUAGGGGGCGAGCGUUGUCCGGAAUUAUUGGGCGUAAAGCGCGUGUAGGCGGCUUGGUAAGUCCGCUGUGAAAACUCGGGGCUCAACCCCGAGCCUGCGGUGGAUACUGCCUCGCUUGAGUCCGGGAGGGGAGAGCGGAACUCCUAGUAUAGCGGUGAAAUGCGCAGAUAUUAGGAAGAACACCGGUGGCGAAGGCGGCUCACUGGAC
rnacentral:rRNA from 1 species